rnacentral:rRNA from 1 species
AGAUUGAACGCUGGCGGCAGGCCUAAUACAUGCAAGUCGAACGAAGGCUUCGGCCUUAGUGGCGCACGGGUGCGUAACGCGUGGGAAUCUGCCCCUUGGUUCGGAAUAACAGUUGGAAACGACUGCUAAUACCGGAUGAUGACGAAAGUCCAAAGAUUUAUCGCCAAGGGAUGAGCCCGCGUAGGGUAU